ensembl:lncRNA
AUGAGCUGGGCAGAGGAUUAUAUGUCUGAGAUCCUGCAGGAGGAAAGGUCUUUGGAGGAGUAUGUUGAGGAGUUUUUGAGCCUGAUACCUCUGGUGAGUUGGAGCGAUCCCAUGAUAAAUACAUACUUCUGGAUGGGACUCAAAGAUGACAAUCUGUUUCUUUUUUUGACUGCUGACGAUUGUCGCAGACCUGAAGCAGAAUUUGUUAACUAUGUACUCAAUCUAAAUGGUUCCAAGUUCUUCGUCAAUGUGGAUGAUCCUUCUCCUCCUCCCAUCCAGAAGCAUGUGGGUGCUCCAGCUCACCAUAGGCCAGCUCCAUCCACAUACCACUCCAAAGAGCCCACUCCCUCCACUACUUCAGCCCCUUCUCAAGAUCUCCAGAUCUCCUCCCUGACCCUAAGCCCUGUGUCUCCGCUGGUUCCACCCACCCUGGAAUCCCCUGUGUCUCCGCUGGUUCCGCCCAGCCUGGAAUCCCCUGUGUCUCCGCUGGUCCGGUCCAUCCCUGAGCACACCGAUCUCCCGUCAAGCCCAGAAGUGGCUCCCAAAACCCCGACAAGCCCAGGGAGGGCUCCCAAACCCCAGUUAAGCUCAGAAGUGUCUCCCAGAACCCAGACGAGCCCAGGGAGGGCUCCCGAACACCAGUUAAGCUCAGAAGUGGCUCCUGAUUCCCCAUUGAGCCCAGGGAGGGCUCUUGAACCCCAGUUAAGCCCAUUGUCAGCUCCAGGCCCCGAGUCCAGUCCGGUGUAUUGUUCCAAGUAUUUUUUUUUGGGGGGGGGGCGUAGAGACCCUGCCAUAGAGGCCGAGGCGGGGGAUGGGGCCACGGCCUCGGAGCCAGAUCCGCCAGGGCCUCCCGAGGCUCCAGAUCCGCCAGGGCCUCCCGAGGCUCCAGAUCCGCCAGGGCCUCCUGAGGCUCCAGAGCCGCCAUGGCCUCCCGAGGCUCCAGACCCGCCAUGGCCUCCCGAGUUGCCCUGGAGGUCCUCCUCUGCUCCACCCUGUUCCCAUCCGGCACCAACCUCCAGGGUGCCCACCACCCCCUCCCCAGUGUUACGGCUCGGGACGAGCCUUCCGGGAAGGGGGAGUACUGUCACAAGUCGGUCAGGUGCAUCACCCUCAGCUCACUCAUCUCCUGCACCUGUAUACCUUCCAAUCAUCUGA